GUUUAUUUUUUUUUCCAUUUUUUAUUAGGUAUUUAACUCAUUUACAUUUCCAAUGCUAUACCAAAAGUCCCCCACCCCCGUUUAUUUUUAAAUUACAUUUUUUGGUUUAGGGGUAGGUUGUAUGGAGACUUGGUGGAGUCUGUUCUGCCCACAUGUGGGUCCUGGGAUCAGACACCCAUGGCCUUGCUUGGCAGGCAGCACCUCAAAUCCCCAAGUCCUCUCCUGAGCCGCCAGUCGCAACUGAUCAUCCAACUGUAACUGUUGAUCGAUUUUCGGAGCGACCUUCCUCAUUCAUUGAAUAUAUGUAGUUCUAAAAUUCUACCUCCCUAGUCUUAGAAAUGGCAGGUAGAUAAGUGUGAGAUAGUCUAAAAAUAUAACUCCAAUCCAUAACUAGAAGACUUAAAAUUGUUCUUAUUUUAUGGUUUUGCCACCCUAAAGUUGCAUGGUCUUAAGUUUUGAUUUAAAACGUAACGAUUUAAAAAUGCAUUUUAAAAUUGUAGUUUCCUAGUUAUGAGCACGAGGAGGCUGUUGUAUGCAUCUGUAUGUAGGUUUUAUUCCUCGCCACUUGGGUGCCACCGCCCCUCCUCAGCCCAGCUUGUCUGCAUUCACAGCGCAUCCGGACUUGGCUCCCAUCCGUCGUGACCCGAGUCCGGGCCACGUUUCAUGGCAGACACCCUUUGACUCAUUUAAGAAGCAUCUGGGCUGUUCUGACACCACCGCCUGCUCUGGCCGGGAUUUCUUUCCCAUAUUUGCAGAGUGCUUCCUCGGGGCUUACUCUGAGGCCUCAGGGGAUCUCCUGUGCCUGGCAUCACGGAAGCCCCGUUGCAGGGUCCACCAGGCCUAAAGGUCUGGGAGUUUCCUAACGUUUGGACAGUUUCAGUUUGGAGCCCAGUUUCUUAUCUCAGCCCAGAAUUACCUGGAAGCUUUUUGCUUCCUGUUGUCCGUCCCCAGACAGGCCGGCUCCUGAGAUUUUGAAGGCUGGAAAGGGUCUCCUGAGGUAGCAAGUCAGACCCCAUUUGUUUCCCAGUUUAGAGGGAGGUUCAAGGCAGGCAGAGGAAGUCACUGGACAGGUGUCCUGGCUCAGGAGCCUGGGGUGUGCUGACCUCUGGUCUCGGAGAGUCAGUUGCUUUCACUACAUCUGGAGAAAGCAAGGGUGCCUGAGUCCACUAUUUCAGUGUAAACUGCACCUUCUGGUGGGAGGUUUCCACACAGCCCUUUGGGGGAGCGGCUGGCGGCGGCAGGGAGGUUAAGGGGGGGGAGGGUUAUUCCUUUCUUCCCUUAGGAGGGGGAGGGGGAGGGGGCUGAGGGAGGGAAUGUGGCAGGAUUGCCUAGCCCAGUAGAUUCGCUCUAUCCCCACAUGGAAACUUACUAGGGAUUGCUCCAGAUUCAUUGAGCCGAGCGUCGUCUUGCUGGUUAUUUGGGAUUCUCUCCCUGAGUCUGACAGGAUAGACUUACUUUAAAAGUGGUUGCUGCUGCUGAAGGCUUUAGUCUACAGUGUUGGCUAAAAAGUGAUUAAAAUUGGUUACUCAGUCACGUUUCCUUGUGCAGACCCAACAAAAGAUCUGAUCCAUUUCUCUGUGAGAUUU
rnacentral:lncRNA from 1 species